rnacentral:tRNA from 1 species
GGGCAGUUGGCUCAGUUGGUAGAGCGCCGCCUUCACACGGCGGAGGCCACAGGUUCAAGUCCUGUACUGCCUACCA